rnacentral:lncRNA from 1 species
UAUCUAUUAAAUAAAUCCUACAUUUUUUAUAGCAAUGAUCACUUCCUUUGGAUGAGCUAGAUUCAAAUAAAGUUCCAGGUCACUUCUGGCCUGUAUCUCUUGUUUCAUCUCCAGAGGAAGAAGCUGGCCUCGGCACAACUCCAAUGGAAGGAAUCAUCAUAUUACCUGUUCUGCCUGUUUUAAUCAUGAUGCCCCUCUGGUGAAGGAAAUGAGAUUGCAGAUUCAGAUUCAGCAAACUUUUAUGGGGGACGUACUGUCAUGUGGCAGGCCAUCUCACAGGAAUCCAUGCAUUUCAAUGUCUUGUCCGGCCAUUAAAAUAUUCCUAGGAUCCAGAAGUGCUGCAGAUAUGCAUACACAAAUAUGGAGAGGUUCUGGAGAACUGAAGGGGUUCGAAUUCCCGUGGGUACACUUGUUCUGUUUCUCCUCAUUCAUUCCUUAUCCAUUCUUUCCUCCUCUCAUUCAUCAAAUACUUUGAGCACUUCCUCUAUUAGCAGCGGCUGGAAACAACCCGAUCUCGGAUACCAGGACCUACCAGUACCGGGUCCCUGACCUUGAGGAAUUCCUGGGUCCUGGUGGGCGGAGGCACCUGGAGAUAGAUGGUUUCAGGACAGGGAGAUAAGUGAUAACAGCACAGAGACGACCGAAAGGUCAUUGGAGCCUGGAAGAACGAUCCACCAACUUUUCCAAGGAGGAAGGGAGGGUUCUGCGGAGAAGACCGACGUUGAAAUGUAGGAAGUUCUUGAGGAAGACGUCGAGGCAUCAGGGCGCCAGAGGAGCUACUGGAGCCAGCCUCCAGGCUGCUCGAUGUGGCCCUCUCGCGAGGCGGGGCAGUACCGGGGCUGAUGUGCAGCCCCAUCUGUUUCCUUGGGGUUUCUCAAAUUUAUUUCAAACUUCACAAGAGUACUCACACCCCCUCUUUUUUGGUCUCCCCAACUUAACUGUCCUAUCCAACUUACCCUGCUUGAGUUUUCUCACAGCACUUUACACGUUCUAAAUAUGCUAUGUCACAUCUGGUGUGUUUACGACCUGUUUGGUCCUCCUCCAAGGUAAGCUGAAGGGGAGGAUCGUUUAUUUCAUUCACUGUGGUGGCCCCCGAGCUCCUGGAAAAGUGCUUAGUCCAUUCACAAUAGGUUCCUGAUAAAUAAUGGGAAUGACCUGAAAGAGCGAAUUUCUGUAUCCAUGACAUAAUUUGUAUGUGCUCAUCGCUGAAGGAAGGUUUAGAGGAAAAUAAAGGCCGACAAGGGACCA